ensembl:lncRNA
CGAUGAUUCCCCUUCAGCUUCAGCUGCGGGCAUGAUGGAAACAUUUGAUAAAAAGAGCUAAAAACUGCUGUUUGAUCAGUGACCAACCAAUGAUGACGUACAACCCUUUGCGAUUCACACACAUGGUGUAAGAUAAACAACAGUCUCACAUGGUGCCUAAUUGCUACUGUCUGAAAUAUGACAGCUAACUCAACUAUUACAGCUGCCUCAACUAUCACAGCUGCCUCAACUAUUACAGCCUCCUCACUGUUGCAGCCACCUCAACUAUCAUAGAUUCCUCACUGUUGCAGCCACCUCACCUAUCAUAGAUUCCUCACAGUUGCAGCCACCUCAACUAUAACAGCUGUCUCACUGUUACAGCCACCUCAACUAUUUCAGCUGUCUCACUGUUACAGCCAUCUCAACUAUUAGAGCUGCCUCACUGCUACAGUCACCUCAACUAUUACAUCUGCCUCACUGUUACAGCCACCUGAACUAUUACAGCUGCCUCACUGUUACAGCCACCUCAACUAUAACAGCUGUCUCACUGUUACAGCCACCUCAACUAUUACAGCUGCCUCACUGUUACAGUCACCUCAACUAUUACAGCCUCCUCACUGUUACAGCCACCUCAACUAUCAUAGCUGCCUCACUGUUACAUCCAAUCCCAAGCCCACUAUUACAGCUGCCUCACUGUUACAGCCACCUCAACUAUUACAGCUGCCUCACUGUUAAAGCCACCUCAACUAUCACAGCUGCCUCAUUGUUACAGCCGCUUCACUGUUACAGCCUCCUCACUGUUACAUCUACCUCACUGUUACAGCUGCCUUACUUUUACAGACACCUCAGUUUUACUAAUCUGUUACAUCUACCUUAACCAAUAUAGUUGACAUAAGUAUUAUAUCUGCCUAAGUGUAGCUACC